UACGAAGGGGGGCUAGCGUUGCUCGGAAUCACUGGGCGUAAAGCGCACGUAGGCGGAUUGCUAAGUCAGGGGGUGAAAUCCUGGAGCUCAACUCCAGAACUGCCUUUGAUACUGGCGAUCUCGAGUCCGGGAGAGGUGAGUGGAACUGCGAGUGUAGAGGUGAAAAUUUCGUAGAUAUUCGCAAGAAACACCAGUGGCGAAGGCGGCUCACUGGCCCGGUACUGACGCUGAGGUGCGAAAGCGUGGGGAGCAAACAGG
rnacentral:rRNA from 1 species